rnacentral:rRNA from 1 species
CGAAGGUAGCAUAAUCAGUAGUCUUUUAAUUGAAGGCUGGUAUGAAUGGUUGGAUGAAAUAUUAACUGUUUCAUUUAAAUUUUUUAUAGAACUUUAUUUUUUAGUAAAAAAGCUAAAAUUUUUUUAAAAGACGAGAAGACCCUAUAAAUCUUUAUAUUUUAUUUUUAUUAAUUAUUAAGAUAAAUUUAAUUAUUAAAAAUUAAAAUAUUUUAUUGGGGUGAUAUUAAAAUUUAACAAACUUUUAAUUUUUAAAUACAUAAAUUUAUGAUUUUUUGAUCCAUUAUUAAUGAUUAAAAAUUUAAGUUACUUUAGGGAUAACAGCGUAAUUUUUUUGGAGAGUUCAUAUCGAUAAAAAAGAUUGCGACCUCGAUGUUGGAUUAA